ncrna:unclassified sequences KDPG-aldolase RNA
GGUGUGGUCGGUUUCUGGUAACGUUUUUUCUUUCUGAAAAGUUGCCGGACCCUGUGGCAGGGGCGCGCCAUCAAUCACAACGGUGCCUGCGGGCAUGAACGGAGA